GAGAGAGGUUAAACAACAAAGACUGCUAAUCUUUGCUCCCUUGGUUAAAUUCCAAGGCUCCCUCG
rnacentral:tRNA from 1 species